AGACCCCGGAUCCUCCUGCGUGGCAUGCCGGCGGCGUUACCACUCGGCCAUCUGGCCACCACUUCAUAUUCUUUUCGGUCAACAGAUGAUUUUCCACGUUCCAUUCUCUAAUAAUAAGUGACGGGAUGAAACAAGCCUUCCUGCAAGCUGCCACCCCUAUGGAGAGGUCAGCCGGAUUGUGGAGGACAGGGAUCGAUGGACAGCCCGAACCUCAAGAUAGAUUCGAGUCCUAUUAUGAAAAUGUUUGAGUUCUCCAGAAACGAAAACCGAAGCGUUUCUACGCGGUCAAUCCACCCGACUGGUAACUGCAUACUUUAUGUUCGGCAAUCUGUAAGGUCAGUGCAAGGAUGUUUUUAUGGAUCAGUGCUGCAAACAUUACUUAUUUACUUUAUUUUUCAAUAAAUAAUAAAAUUUAUGAAUAUAUAUAUAUAUAUACAAUUUAUUUUU
rnacentral:lncRNA from 1 species